rnacentral:tRNA from 1 species
GAAAAUUUAGUUUAUAAAAACAUUAGUUUGUCAAACUAAAAUUAUUUUUUAAAGAAUAAUUUUCU